rnacentral:rRNA from 1 species
UACAGAGGUCUCAAGCGUUGUUCGGAUUCAUUGGGCGUAAAGGGCGUGUAGGCGGUCAGGUAAGUGAGAUGUGAAAUGCCCCGGCUCACCCGGGGACCGGCAUCUCAUACUGCUUGGCUUGAGUACGGGAGAGGAUGUGGGAAUUCCUGGUGUAGCGGUGAAAUGCGUAGAUAUCAGGAGGAACACCGGUGGCGAAGGCGCACAUCUGGCCCGAUACUGACGCUGAGGCGCGAAAGCUAGGGGAGCAAACGGG